CCCCACCCCCCACCCUCGCCGCCGUCCACCGUAGGGCAGCAGACAGACAGGCCCAGGGCUCGUCCUCCGGGGCGGUCCUUACUGCUCCCCUGCGCUGUGUCUGCUGUCCACAAUGCGGAGGGAACCCACUUCCCAUCUCUGGAAGUUCUGCGGGGCAGGUUUCGGCGUGAAGGUGAAGGAACCGGAGUUGUGGACGUUGGUAGCCAAGGGAUACAGGUAUAACCACGCUGCUGCCCACUACUGCGAAUACGGCUGCCCUGAGGGGCGGGGGCGGGGGAGAAGGCCUCAUCAGCCCCGGGGCCUGACCCAGGACCCCCCGGGGUGCAGGUGGGGGCCCCACAUGCAGGCCUGCCCUGCUGGGGGAGGGGGCCAGGCCCAGGCCUGCUAGUCCUCCGGGGCUCCGAGAGGAUGGCGUGGGGCACAUCGUCCCUAUUCCCAGGACAAGCCGUGUAUCCAGGAACUGCGAACGCCUGCACCUCCUCCAGCCCCGGUACCCAGGCAGCCACCCCCCACCCGCCUCCCUGUGCCGCUCCAGCCAGUUGCCCUUUCCUGCCAACACCUUCCGGCUCGAAAUCCCCGGCUGGAUUCCCCCCACCUGGAGUCUCCUUUCUGCCAUGUCCGUGAGCUCCAGGCUCCCGGUGGGGGUCAGGGGCUCGACCCCUGCCGCGGAGGGCCCGCUGCCGGCCUCACCUGUCUCCUCGUAGCCCCACAGCUCGAUGGUGACGGUGUCCGAGGGCAGGGCCGAGGUGUUCCAGGUCAGGGUGAGGUUGCCCUGCGUGCCAGGAGUGCCAUAGUACUGCCAGCGGGUCUCAUUCACCAGCUGGCUCUUUUCGGAGUCCGACACUUUGCUGGGGUGCACUGGGCGGGGGGCGGGGAGGUGAGGGCUGAAAGAAGGCCUGGGGCCCAGGGCGUCCGGGGAGGAGGUCCGGGGCUCCUUGAGCUGUGGGGACCUCCCAAGGCAGUCCCUCGGGGGCCACGGUGCCCUUGUAGUAGGAAAGGUCAGGGGCUGGGAGAGGAGGGGCCCUGAUCUUUGCCCCCGGGCUGGCUCCUCCCCUGCCCUGGCCAGAGCCGACUCCCCCCUAGUCCUCCUCCCUCUGGGCUGGAAUCCCCGCGUGGAUGCCAGUGGGUGGAGAAAGGAGCCUGGGGAGCCCACACCCAGGGCAGGCCUCCAAAGUGACUGGUUCAACCAGAUUAUUGCCCGGGAGAGUCCCUGUGAGGGCACUGGGCCCGGGAGGGUGCGGCCCGGUGUCCUCCUCCCCCACCAUCCGGCCGUCACCGUCGGGCUCACCGGAGAGCCAGGUGCCCGAGCGCGGGAAGGAGCGGCCGUUGUCCAUGGAGAGCGUGAACGGGAUGCGGCCGGACUCAUAGAGCAGGGGAGACACGCAGUGCACUCGGCCGGAGGCGUCCACGUAGCCGCGGCACCCUCCAGGAUGGACAUGAAUCUGAGCAAACUCCAGGAGAUGCUGAAGGACGGGGAAGCCUGGCACGCUGCCACGCAUGGGGUCGCAGAGUCAGACACGACCGAGCGACUCAACACAUCAGCCCCCAGUGUGGUCACGGACCGCCAGACGGAUGGACAGGAGUCCAAGCCCAGGGAGGUUCUGCGCUGGGUCUGACUGCAGCGGGCAGACAGGGGGACGGCAGGGCAGGGCGGGGGCAUACCUGCUGCAGGCUUUACCAAGGAUUAUAGCCCAGGAGAUUGUCAGAUAGCUCUGAGGAAAUGCUCCAAAGUAGUAGUCCCCUACUAGGAUCCACU
ensembl:lincRNA